UGUCUGCUUAGUAUGAGUGCUCAUGCGACGUACAGUAGAGUAGUAUAUACACCACUACUAUCUAUACGUGCAGCACGGCACAGUAAUGUCCACGGAAAGCAUGUGUCCCGGCUGGCGGCGCGGCGGCUGGCGCGGCACACGCGCAACGUCGAUACGACACUGCCCGUCGCCCACGCCUCGCCGCCGCCCACGCCACCCGGAAAGGCAGCAGAGCGGGCCGGACGACGCACGCGCACUGCCUGCACGCACCCGUCCGCCCCGCCCCGCCCGGUCCCACAGCACGAAUAAUAAAUAGUAGCACACGAUUUUGUUAAUGAUCCUUCCGCAGGUUCACCUACGGAAA
rnacentral:misc_RNA from 1 species